AUACGGAAGGUCCGGGCGUUAUCCGGAUUUAUUGGGUUUAAAGGGAGCGCGGGCGGAGAUGCAAGCGUGACGUCAAAUUUCGGGGCUCAACCCCGUCUCGCGUCGCGAACUGCGUCCCUUGGUUGCGGGAAGGGGAGGCGGAACUCGUGGUGUAGCGGUGAAAUGCAUAGAUAUCACGAAGAACUCCGAUCGCGAAGGCAGCCUUCCGGCCCGUCAACGACGCUCAUGCUCGAAGGUGCGGGUAUCAAACAGGAUUAGAUACCCUGGUAGUCCGCACAGUAAACGAUGGACACCCGCGGUUUGGCCUGUAUGGCUGAGCCGCCAAGCGAAAGCGUUAAGUGUCCCACCUGGGGAGUACGCCGGCAACGGUGAAACUCAAAUGAAUUGACGGGG
rnacentral:rRNA from 1 species